CUCUCCCUGGGGACCCGCAGGUGUCGCUGCCCCUGGGCCUGCGCCAACCGCUGGCCCCUGACCCACCCACCGCACCCCGGAGCCGGCAUUUCCUGCUUCCUGCGCCGUGGCAGCUGUGCAGGGGGUGCGGAGCUGGAGAGCACGCAGCUGUAGGUAGGGGCUGGGGACAGGGAUCUGUCCCUCCGCCUGACUUUUUCUUCUCUUUCUCCAUCCGACCUCUGCCGGCCGUGGGGCUCCCCACCGCAGCUGUAGUGUGUGUGUGGGUUGUUGGUAGCACCCCAGUUUUAGGCUUGGGGCUGGGAGGCCUGGCUGAGACUAGUGCGCAUUCACAGAGCUUCGAAAGCCUCCCAACCUCCAAGUGUAUGGUACCUUUCUGAGCCUCCGGGGGCGUCUGGGAUCUCUAUAACCCGACUCCCCUUGAGCAGCCCAGUAGGACCCUUGGCCGGGAGAAUCCGCCUGACCCUGCUUCCUGGUGCGGGGCGCCGGCUGGCCGAACCGGGACUCCUCCUCCAGGAAGCCAGGGGCCUCCGAUAGUUGCAGCUCCCCGCCCCUUCUCCUGGCCGAGGCCUCUAGGGCGCACCCGUAGGAUUUGCAUUGUGCGGCCGUGGCUUCCUGGUCAGCGGGCGAGGUGGAGCCGGGCCGCACCCCACGGGCCCCGGAUGAGGGUGCCCGUGGCUGGAGUCGGCGAACUCCCCUUCUUCCUUGCAGGGAGGGCGACCUGCAUGCAGAACGCCGCCCCCUCACCAUGGACCGGGAGCCCGCUAACCCAGCGCCCCGAGCCCCGGGCCCCUACGUGAUAGCGCCCGUGCGAGCCGUGCUCCGCCUGCGCCGCCGUGUGUUCGUCCUGCGCAAGCGCAGCCUCCUGCAGCCGGGCUUGGGGUCGGACGAGGGGCUCGGAGCUCCCAGGCCAGGCUGCGGCCCUGGAGCACUGCGCGCAGACCUGGCACAGCCCAAGUUCUUUACCUUCGAUGGUCCGGCAGAGCUGGCGCCCCGGACACCCCGCAAGAGGCGGCGGCGCAGCCGCGUGGUGCUCUACCCCGAGGCGUCGCGCAGGUGCCGGCCGCGUGCAGAGCGCCAGAGCCGCGCGCAGCGCUGUUUGCUGCUGCUCGUGGCCAUCGUGGGUUUCCAGGUGUUGAACGCCAUCGAGAACCUGGACGACAACGCACAGCGUUACGACCUCGACGGGCUAGAGAAGGCAUUGCAGCGUGCGGUAUUCGGGCAGCCUGCCGCCGUGAGCCGCAUCGUGGCGCUGCUGAGGGACUACCUGGCCACACACGUGCACAGCCGCCCGCUGCUUCUAGCGCUGCAUGGGCCUAGUGGCGUGGGCAAGAGCCACGUGGGCCGCCUGCUGGUGCGUCACUUCCGCGCAGUGCUGGAGGACGGUGCGCUCGUGCUGCAGUACCAUGCACGGCACCACUGCCCGGAGCUGCACGCCGCGCAGGGCUGCCGCGAGGAGCUGGCGCGCAGGGUGGCUGCUGUGGUGGCGCAGGCGGAGGCUGAGGAGAAGACACCGCUUGUGGUGCUGGACGAGGCAGAGCGCCUGCCGCCGGCUCUGCUGGAUGAGUUGCAUGGUCUCCUGCAGCCACAUCGCGCACAUCACUUUCACAACGCCAUCUACGUGCUGCUGAGUGGCGCGGGCGGUGCCGAGGUCACACGCUUUGUGCUGCAGAAUGCGACACGUGCCCUGGCCCCAGGCCCCGACGGCACUGCAGCUGAAGAAGAGCUGCGCGUACGCCUCCAUGCACACCUGGUGCGCGCGCACCCGCUGUGGAGCUCCGCAGCCAUCGUGCCCUUCUUGCUGCUGGACAAGCGGGACGUGGUUAGCUGCUUCCGGGACGAGAUGGCCGGGGAGGGCUUCUUUCCUGAGCAGGCUCGCGCUGAGCAGCUGGCCGAGCAGCUCAGCUACUACCAGGUCGCGGGCCGUGAGUUUGCUGUAACGGGCUGCAAGCAGGUGGUGGCCACGGUGAACCUCUUGUAGCCCAGGUGCCAGCUCCGAUAGGGGCCGUGAGCUGUGGCCAGGGCUGUGUCACCUGAGGAGUUCACGAGUGGGCAGGGGUGGCAGGGCUCCAAGCAAUAGAGUCCCACUUCUACCUUCACGCAAAGCUCCUGGAGCAUCCCUGGGGCCACAGGCAGCCCACCUUCCUGUGUUUGAUCCCAUUCAGGCUCCUGUGAUUGGUUCCCACCACUACAGGAGGUGGGCAGCCUGCUUCCCUGGUAGGUCCAGAGUGCCUGUCCAUAAGCCCAGGGCCUCCCUGGAGUGCAGUAGGAAGGUUGGUGCUCUGGAAGUGCCGUACAGUGGUAGGAGUGGGCCUGAGUGGGGAGCCCCGACUUACUGGGGGAGAUCCAGCUCGUACCACCCUGGCUCCUGUGCUGUCACAGGAGAGUGGUCAGGGGUGCAGGGCACAUGUGCCUGGCUGUGGGCCGGUUGCACAGCUAUCUCCAGCACUGUGGCCUUUGCUGCCAAAGCUGCCUUGCCUAAACAGUUCCUAAGGGCUCACCCUUUGCUCCUGGGAAGCUUUCUGGCUCCUCCCACAGCAUGAGUUUAGAGGAAGAGGUUUUUGCUUUUGUUUUUUAAUGUAUUUAGUACAGGGUCUCACUAUACAGAUGGGACUUGUAGUGAUCCUCCUGUUUUCA